rnacentral:rRNA from 1 species
GAUGAACGCUGGCGGCGUGCCUAACACAUGCAAGUCGAGCGUGAUUGGUGGGAGUGGAGACUUCGGUCGAAGCGAACAUCAUGAAAGCGGCGGACGGGUGAGUAACGCGUGGGCAACCUGCCCCAUACAGGCGGAUAGCCACUGGAAACGGUGAUUAAUACGCCAUAAGACCACGACACCGCAUGGUGACGAGGUCAAAGAUUUAUCGGUAUGGGAUGGGCCCGCGUCUGAUUAGCUGGUUGGUGAGGUAACGGCUCACCAAGGCGACGAUCAGUAACCGACCUGAGAGGGCGGACGGUCACACUGGAACUGAGACACGGUCCAGACUCCUACGGGAGGCUG